AGAACGAACGCUGGCGGCAUGCCUAACACAUGCAAGUCGAACGGGACCUUCGGGUCUAGUGGCGCACGGGUGCGUAACGCGUGGGGAUCUGCCCUUAGGUACGGAAUAACUCAGGGAAACUUGAGCUAAUACCGUAUAAUGACUUCGGUCCAAAGAUUUAUCGCCUAGGGAUGAACCCGCGUAGGAUUAGCUUGUUGGUGAGGUAAAGGCUCACCAAGGCGACGAUCCUUAGCU
rnacentral:rRNA from 1 species